rnacentral:rRNA from 1 species
UACGUAGGGUGCGAGCGUUAAUCGGAAUUACUGGGCGUAAAGCGUGCGCAGGCGGUGAUGUAAGUCAGAUGUGAAAUCCCCGGGCUCAACCUGGGAACUGCAUUUGUGACUGCAUCGCUGGAGUGCGGCAGAGGGGGAUGGAAUUCCGCGUGUAGCAGUGAAAUGCGUAGAUAUGCGGAGGGACACCGAUGGCGAAGGCAAUCCCCUGGGCCUGCACUGACGCUCAUGCACGAAAGCGUGGGGAGCAAACAGG